UUCAGGUCUCAUCGUUCCUGCCAGCUCUAGGAUCCUCCUCUUCAGAGCAAAACAUCAAUAAAAUGCUGCCGCCGUCUCCUCUUCCGUCUCUUCAAACGGUCAGAUCAGUAGCCGAGCCUAGCGAGGACGAAAGCCAGGAGAACCACAAGGUGUUGCCCUCGAGUGAAGGAAGCAUGAGGUGGAAGCUACCUGGACUUGGGCUUGGCUUUCUGAGGAGUUCAUCUGAUGUAUAGAGGAUAUUACUGGCAUGAGCUGUGGAACUCUAGGGAUUUCUUUUGGAAAUGCUCAUCUGUAUAUCCAGCGAGAUAACAUUUGUAGCGACAACUUGGAUUUCAGUUAUAGU